UACAGAGGGUGCGAGCGUUAAUCGGAAUUACUGGGCGUAAAGCGCGCGUAGGCGGCUUUGCAAGUCGGGUGUGAAAUCCCCAGGCUUAACCUGGGAACUGCAUUCGAGACUGCAUUGCUAGAGUAUGGGAGAGGGAAGUGGAAUUUCCGGUGUAGCGGUGAAAUGCGUAGAUAUCGGGGAGAACACCGUGGCGAAGGCGGCUUCCUGGGGCCAUCCUGACACUGAGAAGCGAAAAGCUAGGGGGAGCGAAACGGGG
rnacentral:rRNA from 1 species